GCCCCCGAAUUUGCUUGGCUCCUGGCGUCGGCGGUAGUCUGUGUGUGGCCUGCCCCUCACUGCUUCCUCUGUGGGGACUUGGAGGUGACAGGGACCUGCGGCAGUGUGGUGCCAUGAAGGGGCAUGCAGCAGUACUAGCAGGAGGAGGUGGUCCAGCCAGUCCAGCCGCACUCACCUUUUUUACCACUCUCUGACGCUGUUGCCCGACGUCAUGAUCCAACAAAAAACAGAAGAAGGGACCCACUGCUGCCGGAGAAGAAAGGGGACCCGCUUUUCCUGUCACUGAUGAGAAGGGGGACCCACUACUGCCCGAGUGUUAUUGUCCGGGACACUGGGCCAACCCUUAGUGUAUAUGUUACUGUGGUGAUGGGA